rnacentral:rRNA from 1 species
CCCUUAGAUGUUCUGGGCCGCACGCGCGCUACACUGAUGCAUUCAACGAGUUUCUUCCUGGUCCGAGAGGAAUGGGUAACCUUUUGAAAGUGCAUCGUGAUAGGGAUAGACUAUUGCAAUUAUUGGUCUUCAACGAGGAAUUCCUAGUAGACGUAGUUCGUCAGACUGCAUCGAUUACGUCCCUGCCCUUUGUACACACCGCCCGUCGCUCCUACCGAUUGAAUGCUCAGGUGAGCCAUUCGGACUUUCAUCAUGCUGGUUUCCAGUUUUGAUGAAGGAAAGUCUUGCGAACCUUAUCAUUUAGAGGAAGGAGAAGUCGUAACA